AUUUGGAUCUUGAUAAUUAUGAUAGGGUUAUACACUUGAGUAAAAGCAAAAGUAGUCAAAAAUCAAGUAGGUAAAUGAAGCUGAUUUUUAUUCAGUAAAAUAAACAAACAUGUACACUACAUCUAGAUCUAUUCAUCAGAAAGAUUCAUUUCUUUUCUUUCCAUCUUUAUUUAGCUUCUGAAGCAAUUUAUAGCUAUCUUUGCUGGAAUUAGACAAGCCUUCCUCAUGUCAGAUUGGAAUUUAAACAUUGACAUGCACACAUCAGGCAACUGGUACUUUGCUAUUUCCAUAGCCAAAAAUGGGGCUGGGAACCCUAUUUUUAGUUGUAAGUUGGUGUUAGUUCGAAAUAACUUUUAAAGACAGGCAUGUAACAUCUCCAGGUUGGAGAAUCUCUUAGAGAAGUAAAAGUACCAGUAAAUGGAAAUUGUUGCUCAUGUCUUUCCACUUACAAUCAGGUUGUUAUUUAGUUUUUCCUUAUGUUGUGUUGAGGGGAAUCUUAGCAUAUAUUGAGCAGUACUUAGCUGUUUCCAGUGGAACUGAAGUUUCACCUAUAUAUAUCAUUCUACUCUUUUUAGUGUCUAGAUUUCUGGUGCUUUCUCAUGGAAGAUUUUGCUUGUCCGAGUUAAUGUACUGUGGGAUUACUGUGAAAUUGUUAACAAGAUAUUUGAAUCAGCUAAGAUAUGAGACCAUCAUAAGGUGAAAAGUUGACCAGUAUUCUAGAUCAGCUUAAGUCUAUGUUAACAUAAUCCUCAACAUAGUUAAGUCGAGUUUCUUCUACCAGGUCAUCUGUUGUUAACUAAUGAUUGGGUGAAUUGCAAUCCGCUUCCUUCAAUUCUCAAUUAAUGAGUACAUCUGAAAGAAGCAUAUGUCAUUGAUGGUGCUAUAAGCUCGAUUCAGUCAGGUUUGCCCUAAGCAUCCAUCUGUUCACAUCUUUUGUUACUGGCCGGAUGAGAUGAUGGUUUUUCAAUUAAAUCACUCCAAACAAGUGUUGUUCCACUAUGUAUCUUAUUUUUACCUAUUAAUAUGGCAAUGUAGUUCCUAAAAAUUUCUUAUAAAA